rnacentral:rRNA from 1 species
AGUUAGGGGGAAUAGUGGGGCAAUGGGGGAAGACCCUGACCCAGCAACGCCGCGUGAGGGGAAGAAGGCCUUCGGGUUGUAAACCUCUGUCAUAUGGGAAGAAGGAUUGACAGUACCAUAUGAGGAAGCUCCGGCUAACUACGUGCCAGCAGCCGCGGUAAUACGUAGGGAGCGAGCGUUGUCCGGAAUUACUGGGCGUAAAGGGUGCGUAGGCGGCAUGUUAAGUUAGAUGUCAAAUACCCGGGCUUAACCCGGGGACGCAUCUAAAACUGGCGUGCUUGAGUGCAGGAGAGGAAAGUGGAAUUCCUAGUGUAGCGGUGGAAUGCGUAGAUAUUAGGAGGAACACCAGUGGCGAAGGCGACUUUCUGGACUGUAACUGACGCUGAAGCACGAAAGCGUGGGGAGCAAACAGGAUUAGAUACCCUGGUAGUCCACGCUGUAAACGAUGGAUACUAGGUGUGGGUGACAGAAGUCAUCCGUGCCGCAGCUAACGCAAUAAGUAUCCCGC